GACGAACGCUGGCGGCGUGCUUAACACAUGCAAGUCGAACGGUAAGGCCCUUCGGGGUACACGAGUGGCGAACGGGUGAGUAACACGUGGGUGAUCUGCCCUGCACUUCGGGAUAAGCCUGGGAAACUGGGUCUAAUACCGGAUAGGACCACUGCCUGCAUGGGUGGUGGUGGAAAGCUUUUGCGGUGUGGGAUGGGCCCGCGGCCUAUGAGGUGGUUGGUGGGGUGAUGGCCCACCAAGGCGACGACGGGUAGCCGGCCUGAGAGGGUGACCGGCCACACUGGGACUGGGAUACGGCCCAGACUCCUACGGGAGGCAGCAGUGGGGAAUAUUGCACAAUGGGCGCAAGCCUGAUGCAGCGACGCCGCGUGAGGGAUGACGGCCUUCGGGUUGUAAACCUCUUUCAGCACCGACGAAGCGCAAGUGACGGUAGGUGCAGAAGAAGGACCGGCCAACUACGUGCCAGCCGCCGCGGUAA
rnacentral:rRNA from 1 species